GGAUCUCCUCCUCGUCGGCGCCGAGGGCGCUCUCCGCGGCCUGGCUGCCGUCGCUGCUCGCCAUCGCGCCCGCCGGGCCGGAGCUGGAGCCGGAGCCGCCCGCGCCGCGCCUGCUGUUCUCGCUCUGACGGCGCCUCCGGCCCGGCGCGGCGGCUCGGGUUCCCUCCCGGGGGCGGGUGGGCCCCGCGACUUUAAAUAGAAGGCGUCAAGAGGUUUCGCCACCGAGCUGGGCCCGGGCUCGGCUUCUGUCUUCCCCGGCGUCUGCCAGUUUCCCCGGCCCUCCCCGCCCCAGUCCAGGCAGCUUCCUGGCGGGCCUUUGGGCACCCGGCCCCUGCCUCUGCUCUAGAGUGGGUUCGGUAGGCUUUGGGUUUGAGGCCGAGCUGAGCUACUCAGUGGCCCUUAUCCCAACUUAACUAUUCUCUUACAGAGCAGAGCACUUCCUACUAGUUCAGGCACUCGUAAUUAUGCCCCGCCAGCUCUGCUGCGGUAGGUUUGACUGCUGCUGGUUUGGCUCCGAAGAGCUCCGAUGCCUACCUAGCUUGUUCAAGGUCUCCUUGCUAGCAAACCGACCGAAUGGGAGACAAAGUCUGCCCAUUUCAAACGCCCAGUUUUGAACCCUUGUCUCCUUUUAUAUUUGCAAAUCAAUAAACUGUGUGUUCUCUUUCUCAGUGACCCCUGGAUUAUUCAGAUAGGAAACUUUUAUCUCCACAAAUCUUAAACUAUGAAGAGGAAUAAUUUCCCCUACAUUGGCCAAAGUCUGUUUUGUCUGAAAUUCAACCCAAAGGCCCAGAUCGUCACAUGCCCACGCUUAAGAGACUUCAAUGGCUUUCCACUGCUCUAGGACUAAAGCCCAAGCUCCUUGGGAAGAUAAACGCUAAUAACUCACAUCAUAGCUGCCUCCUCUCUUCUUUAGAAGUCAGGAGUUCCACCAUAUAUCAAGUCACACCGUCCUGUCUUUAUUUACAAAUUCCUCUCCCCUGAAACUUUCUUUCCACCUUUAUUUACCUGUAUACUCAUCAUUCAAGACUAUACCCUUCUCUGGAAUCCCCCACUUAAGUUCAAUAUUCCUGCUUCAAGUUCCCACAUUAUCCUAUGUUCAGAUUGUUUUGUGUCUCUUUCUUCCACUAGACCAUAAGUUUGUUACUCAUCUUUGUCCCACUAUCCCCAUUUCUCACAAGCAUGGACGCUUAGCAAAGUACUUAGCACAUAUUAGGUGCUUAAUCACUGUCCCCUGCACUGAAGAGACCAGGACCAAGACCAGCUAUGUACAAGUAGAGAUAUCUUUACAUAUUUUUUUUCAUAAGGAUGAUUUUAUGGCUAGAAGAGCUAACACUGAUUUUUAAUUACAGCAAAUUCUAUUCAUAGAGUUGUUAACUAUGAUAAAUGUAAAUUAGGCAGCAUUCCCCACUAACAUGAGCUUGUGUGUGUGCAUUAGGUCUGUGAGCAAAAGACCUGCAGCUAGUUGAGAUGCAGUUCUGAAGCAUCAGCUAGGGGCCAUGUGAGGGAAGACAGCAGAGUCCAGUCUUCCAGUGUUCACUAAAUCAGGUUUAACAUUAGAAAUAUGCCUUCUCUUACAUAUUGCAUUAGUAAUCCCAAAUGUCUGCUCACUAGGACAAAAAGGAACCAAUUACAGCUAUGGGAAUCUAUUAAAUACUAAUCAAAACCGCAGGUAGUCAUUGUGUAUUCCCUCCAUUUAACUCAAAAUUUGUUAGGAACACUAACUACAGUCAACAAGAUUUGUGAAGAUCCUAGCUCAAACCAAUCCAGUUUAGAACUUCAGUACAAACUGCAUGUUUUAAACUUUCUAGCACUACUUUCUUAAUAAUGCAAAUAAACAGAAAUGGCCAGAUCAACAUAAACAGAAAAUAAAAGCGUGUAUUAUUCACAACACAAAUAUUGAAAACAAUUUAAAAACCUAAAAACUUCUCAUAUAUUGACAUACCACUUAUCUGACAUAUUUAGCAGUCACAAGUACACAAUCUUAGCUUUGAUUUACAACUGGGUAUUGAUUUACAAUACCCAGUUUGUACUGAUUUACAAUUGGGUAUAAAUUUAUUAACAUUUUGAUCUAUUUGUUAUAGCAAUACAGCUGAAAAGCAGGAGCACUGAGACGGGGCCGCCAGUGGUCACUGAAAGCUGAGAAAACAGUGUCAGUAAAGAUGUCCAAGAUAAAUUCUGGGGUUUUACUAGGAAUGUAACACUGUAGAGGGAGAAUGCCCUAGACACCUGAGGGCUACAGAGGAUUAUGGAGUACUAUGGCUAUUAUUUAUUAUUACCCAGAGUCAUUACUAGAAUAUUAAUUAAAUCCAACACAGUCUGAUAAAGAAGAGUUGCACAGUAUAAGAUACAUUUAAGAGAAAUUUCCAGAAAAAAAAAGUUAGCUUAAUUACUUCAAAAGCAUUAAUCACUAGUAAACUGAAAAAUUCAUCUGUGUGGAAAGCUUCAUUCCUAAUAAUGCCAGAGAAAUAGGUGCUGAUGUGGCUAGCUGGCUUAACUAAGAAUGAAUUUGAUUUCAAGAUUCUCUGCAUAAUCUAAAUAAUUACACACAAUAACCGGAUUCAGUUCAGUUCCAGAUGAGAACUACACCCUCAAUCUCAUCUCAGAAGUAAAGACUUUCACAGAAAAAAACAAACCCUCCCCCGAAAAAAAACAUAUCAACAAUUUUCAUAUAUAAACUUUAUUCCAUUUGAUCAUACAAAAUUUUAAACUUAAGAAAAAAAUGAAAAUAUGCACCUUUUACAAGUCAAAAAGCAAGUCUUAGCAUUUGAAUUGGUCUGCAAAAAAUCCAAAUACAUUAGAGGUAACAAACUGUGCCACAGCAGGUCUAAAAAAAGUUGUACACAGUCCUUUUGAAAAAGUUAGAACUGUUUUUUAAGAUUAUUUAUAUUUAAAUUUACAGGCACUGACCAAUUUACAAAUAUUUACACCAAAAACAACCUUAAUAAACACUGUAGCUUUUUUAGCAGCCACCACUAUUUCUUCUUGUGGAAAAGAAAUACUAAAAAAGAAACCUUUACAAAUGCUAUGCUUUUAUUUAUAAUAAUUUUAUGUCUUAUCUAGAACAUUUUAUAGUGGCUUACUACUAAAACUUCCAGUUUAGAUUACAAUCCUAUAAUUAUACACAGAUAAAACUCUGAAUCUAUCAAUAGGAUAUAAUCUCAAUUUUGAUCUUUCAGUUUCUGUUGCUUCAUAUCAGGAAAAAUAAAAGCAGGAAAAUGGGAAGUAAAGCAAAGGGCAUAUUGCACUAAGCUAUCAUAAAGCACAGACAACUUAAUCUUUUUGAAAUGUCUACACUGAACCAAUUCUUCAAAACAAUUCCCUAACUGCUGUAUAAUACAGAGUUAGCGCUCAUAUUACUAGUGCAAAAUGUACUGUUGCUCAACACAAAAUUUAAAGCAAUCUUGAGUCCACCAAAGGCAUGUGAGGUACUAAUGAAAUACUAUUAUGUACACAACCAGAGCCUCAGUCUUUCCUGAUCAGUCAAGUGAGGGCUUAGGGCAACUGUCCAGUAUUUCCUGCCUCUGUAGUUCUUUCAGUGAAAUCAG
ensembl:lncRNA